CACCUGAUAGCACAUAGUGUGCACCUGCCUUUCCUGAUUGUCUGCACAAACCUAUGUAGGCAGGAGGUCCCCGUUCGAUUCGGGGUCGGGUGA